UAAUCUCGGCCAUCCUCACCGGCCUGCGC
rnacentral:sRNA from 1 species